GAGUUUGAUCCUGGCUCAGGAUGAACGCUGGCGGCGUGCCUAACACAUGCAAGUCGAACGGCCCUGCGCGGAAACAUGGUGAAGCGCAGGGCAGUGGCGGACGGGUGAGUAACGCGUGGGCAACCUGCCGUAUACCGGGGGAUAACACUUAGAAAUAGGUGCUAAUACCGCAUAAGCGCACGGCGCCGCAUGGCGCGGUGUGAAAAACUCCGGUGGUAUACGAUGGGCCCGCGUCUGAUUAGCUAGUUGGCGGGGCAGCGGCCCACCAAGGCGACGAUCAGUAGCCGGCCUGAGAGGGCGGACGGCCACAUUGGGACUGAGACACGGCCCAAACUCCUACGGGAGGCAGCAGUGGGGAAUAUUGCACAAUGGGGGGAACCCUGAUGCAGCGACGCCGCGUGAGUGAAGAAGUCAUUCGUGACGUAAAGCUCUGUCAGCAGGGAAGAAAAUGACGGUACCUGACCAAGAAGCCCCGGCUAACUACGUGCCAGCAGCCGCGGUAAUACGUAGGGGGCGAGCGUUGUCCGGAUUUACUGGGUGUAAAGGGAGCGUAGACGGCAGAGCAAGUCCGGAGUGAAAUCCCGGGGCCCAACCCCGGUGCUGCUCUGGAAACUGCUCGGCUGGAGUGCAGGAGAGGUAAGUGGAAUUCCUA
rnacentral:rRNA from 1 species